rnacentral:rRNA from 1 species
GACGAACCGUGCGAACGUUUAUUCGGAAUCACUGGGCUUAAAGCGUGUGUAGGCGGCGGCCUAAGUACCUUGUGAAAUCCCACGGCUCACCCGUGGAACUGCUCGGUAUACUGGGUCGCUUGAGCCACUUAGGGGCUACCGGAACAAAUGGUGGAGCGGUGAAAUGCGUAGAUAUCAUUUGGAACGCCAAUGGUGAAAACAGGUAGCUGGGAGUGUGCUGACGCUGGAGACACGGAAAGCCAGGGGAGCAAACGGG